rnacentral:rRNA from 1 species
AUUGAACGCUGGCGGAAUGCUUUACACAUGCAAGUCGAACGGCAGCACGGGUGCUUGCACCUGGUGGCGAGUGGCGAACGGGUGAGUAAUACAUCGGAACGUACCCUGACGUGGGGGAUAACGUAGCGAAAGUUACGCUAAUACCGCAUACGUCCUGAGGGGGAAAGCAGGGGAUCGCAAGACCUUGCGCGUUAGGAGCGGCCGAUGGCAGAUUAGCUAGUUGGUGGGGUAAAGGCCUACCAAGGCGACGAUCUGUAGCGGGUCUGAGAGGACGACCCGCCACACUGGAACUGAGACACGGUCCAGACUCCUACGGGAGGCAGCAGUGGGGAAUUUUGGACAAUGGGCGAAAGCCUGAUUCAGCCAUUCCGCGUGAGUGAAGAACGCCUUCGGGUUGUAAAGCUCUUUCGGCAGGGAAGAAACGGUUUUGGAUAAUACCCAGAGCUAAUGACGGUACCUGAAGAAGAAGCACCGGCUAACUACGUGCCAGCCGCCGCCGUAA